AUUUCUUUUACCCAAACAUCCCCAAAUGCUUUAAAAAUUACAUGUACAUUGUUGAAACAGAAAGUGGGGAAAGAAGCCAGCUCCUGGCACUUGUGAGUUUAACAUUGUCUCAGUUUUUGCCUUCGAGAAAUGAGAAUAAUACUUAGCUCCCACCCAGCAGAGUGACUGUGAGAAUUAGCUAAGAGGGAAAAGUGCUAAGGACUGCAGAAUCCCUGCUUAGUAGGUGAGGAGGCUGAGACAAACUCAAGGUACCAGCAGACAAGAGGCAAGGGACAGAAUCCAAACACGAGGAAAAAACAUUGGAAGAUUUCUGGGAAAAAUCCCUGGAUUCUAGCCCCACAAUUCCAUUUCAUUUAUAAAAGGAAGUCAUCAGCAAAUGUUAUUUCUUGAAUUUUUUCCAUAGGAAAACUGACUGGAAAUAACCAUUCGAAAUUUGCAAAACUGCUUUUUUUCUACCUGGAAGGACCAGAAAGAGUGGGGUGUCUAUCCCAUUACCUACCGGGUGCUGUUUCUGGGGCAAGGGAGACAACAAGCCUGAGGCAAAGAAAGGAUAAAUCUGAAGCUUCCCUUCCUUAUUCACCAUUCUCUCUGUUCAAUAACAGUCACUCAGAUGUUUCCAGCUCUAUUCCACUCAAGCCAAGUAGGCCACCACAAGAAGAAUAGGGCGGUGCUUCCCUGGUCCAUUGCUCUGCUUCACUUAGAAACAAGGCAUUUAAAAUCAUCAACAGAAGGCAUCGUAUUUUCACAGAACUUGGCACACAUGGAGGAAAAUUCAGGUCUUCUGAUUCCUGAAAUGUACUUCUUCUACUUUCCCUGUUGAUUUCCAACCCAUCAUCUUUCAUGACAACUUUCCUAAUAUCUGGAGCUAGAAGCUAUCCCUUCCUCCCUAAAGUUCUCAUAACAAUUUAUUUAAAUCUCUCCAGGACACUUAGCUUAUUGAGGAAAGGGAUCUCAGCUUGUUUAUGUGUAUACUUCUCUGCAUUAAGAACAGCACUUUGUAUAACAAACACUUAAUAAAAGUUUGAUGAAUGAAUUAAUCCA
rnacentral:lncRNA from 1 species